rnacentral:tRNA from 1 species
UUUUGCACGUAGAAAAUAGAAGUUUAAUUCUUCAAGUUCACA